UGUCUGAAAGAGGUUUCAUAUUUCUAAACAUAAUCUGACUGUGCAAUGCAGGCAAUCUUUUCAAGUUUCUCCAGGAAUCCAAUGGUUUAUUGUUAACCCCCCUCUGCUCAUCUCUUUCCUCUACCUGAACACAUUAUCUGUACUAAGCACAUUCUGUAUAUAACACAUGCUUCUUCAUUCUGAGGCUGGGGGUGACACGGAUGAAGACCCAUGACGGUGAGUGGCCCUCUUAAGCCCAUGGGAAUAGGUGGAAAAGAUGUUUCAAGGUACCUUUUUGAGAUGUGAAUUUGUAUUUUGUCACUAUUUUUUCUUCCUUUGUAUUCAGGCACUUGAUCAAGCCUUAGCGUUCUUUAGCUUCUGGGUACUUUGCAAAGCAGAAGGUGGCUUGCAGUCAAAGACUCUUCUUGUCUUUCCUAAAAGUAUAAAUGGUACUAAAGGGUUUGGAGGAGAGGAGGAAGAGGAGUCCCUUUGAAAUCGAGUAAGCAGGUAAGUGUCCCACCUGUGGAGGGUCUGAGAUGAGAACCCAGGCAGCUGUUGGCAACAUCCCAAUGAGAGGCAGAACCACACAGAGGCUGGCUUAGUUUCCCUUUUCCAAGUGCCAGUCUUGCCUUCCUCCCUCCCUGCCCCCAUCAUGCUUUCUGGAGCACCUGCUGUGGACAGCACUAGGAAGUACAGAUGCCACAGGGAGUAAGUGGUGGAUCUUACCCUGCUGGCACCACAGUCUCAGGGGGGAAAUGAUUAUAAGGUAGUGUGCUACUUCCCAAGACAGAAAUAUGACCAAGGUAAUGGGGGAAGAUGGAGAAAGAGAUGUCAGUCCCAGAAGCCUAGUUACUCCCUUUCUUCGGUGAGUUCUUUCUUAAUUUCCAAGGUCUGGUUCACUCCUGAGCCCUCAUCUCCACCAUCCUCUGGCCCUUUGUUCUUCGGAUGAGAUUUCUAGUUUCUGUGUUUUCAUCUCUUUGAUACCCAGAGGAAUUUGUCACGGGUCUGUUUUUGUCCUCCGCUUUUCUCUAAAUUUUAUAAACGUAGGCAACAAAGGAAUUUAUUGAACAGUAUAUGAGUAGCUCAUAGAUUCAGGUAGAAGGGAAAACACAGACUUGGAAAAUGGCUAGGCAGAAGUCAGGUUCCCACUUUAACCCUAGUGCAGCCCUGCUAUAAAUCACGUCUUGACUCAUUCUUCAACAGAAUCUCUCCUGGAAAAGUCCUGAGCAGAAGCAUCAAAUUGCCCAAUGGAUGGAUGCUCACACCCCAGUCUCUAGAGGGCAGAAGUGGAUUCUUGCUCCAGUAGUGAGAAGUGGGGUCCUGCAGCCACGGAACCCACACAAAUGGGGAGUUGUUUGGAUGCUGAAUGUAGAAACAAUUCCCCUCCAGCUGUCAUUCGCCUGCAUUUUAUCAGGAAGUCAAAAUUCAUCCCAAUUUAACAACUACAGUUCUCAUCUUCUGCCUUGUUUGCAUCCUGUCUUUUGAGGGGCAUUCAGGGUCUUCCUCUUGGACGCUUCAGGCCUCACCCAAAACUAUAGGUACAAAAUGGAGAUUUGCUCCCUCUGAUCCCCCACAAUUCUGACCCUUGGGCUUCUGGAAUCUUCCAGGAAUCUCCCACCCUUAGCAGGGAGCCCAGGAGACUUCAGACUAAUCACGGCCGUUCUGUUUGAGAAACAAGAUUUCCAUUCACUACAAAUGCCUGUCAACCUUUUCUCUGCCAUCUCUUCAAGCUUCCCUUUUCCCUAAAACAACAUGCCUUCCCGUUUUCGAGCCAUUUUCUCCUGGUUGUUGCCUGUACCAAUCACCUGUCCCUUCAUCACUAGCAUGGAACUUCUUCCUGGCAUCUGCACUUAUUCUGUGGACAUGACAUCUGGGAUAUAAGAGAAACCGCUCUCUACUCUCUGCUUCCCUUCAGAUUUGGCUGCACUGUCAGAAAUGGUUUCUGCGGGGGUGGAGGGUGUGGAGUAAGAGAACUGGAAAGGCACAGGUCAGUUAGAGUGGGUGGCAACUGAAUGGUAGGUGCCUGAUGCAAACUAGCCUGCAUCCUGACCUCUUUAUCUUCUGUUUCUGCAACACAGAAGCCUUUGCCAACAUGGCUUUGCUCAGGUCAUGCCACAGCUAAAGCCAGUAGUCUGAGUGGUCUCCCAGUCUGCUGGAGAGAUGCUCUGCAAUCAUGUGUUGAGCUGCACCUGUGGUGGACACUUACUCCCUCAUUUGGGCACUUGAUGAUCAUGCCUUUCUGACCUUUUUUUUUUUUCAAAUUUGAUGGCGUAAUAUAAAAUUAUUCUAAAGAGUCAGUAUGGAGGUGUUAUGGUUUGGAUGUGGGUGUCCUCCAAAAGCUCACAUGUGAGACAAUUCAAGAAGGUUUGGAGGAGAAAUGAUUGGGUUACAGCCUUUAUCUAAUCAAUGAAUUAAUCCCUGAUGGAAUUAAGUGGGUGGUGACUGGAGGCAAGUGGGGUGUGACUGAAGGAAGUGGUUCUUUGGGGGCAUAGCUAUGGGGUGGUAUAUAUUUUGUAUCUGGAAAUUGGAGACUCUCUCUCUUUCUGCCUUCUGAUGACCAUGUGAGCUGUUUCUCUUUGCCAACUCUUCAGCCAUGAUGU
rnacentral:lncRNA from 1 species